UACAUAGGGUGCAAGCGUUAUCCGGAAUUAUUGGGCGUAAAGCGUCUGUAGGUGGCUUUUUAAGUCCGCCGUGAAAUCCCAGGGCUCAACUCUGGACAGGCGGUGGAAACUACCAAGCUGGAGUACGGUAGGGGCAGAGGGAAUUUCCGGUGGAGCGGUGAAAUGCGUAGAGAUCGGAAAGAACACCAACGGCGAAAGCACGCUGCUGGGCCGACACUGACACUGAGAGACGAAAGCUAGGGGAGCGAAUGGG
rnacentral:rRNA from 1 species